UCGACGCCCCGCCGCUGCGGGGCGUGGCGCACGGCUGAGUAACACGUGGCUAACCUACCCUCGGGAGGGGGAUAACCUCUCGGGAAACUGGGGCUAAUCCCCCAUAGGCGGGGAGGCCUGGAAGGGUUCCCCGCUGAAAAGGGGCACGGGGGGUUAUCGCCCGCGCUCCGCCCGAGGAUGGGGCUGCGGCCUAUCAGGUAGUUGGCGGGGUAACGGCCCGCCAAGCCGAAGACGGGUAGGGGCCGUGAGAGCGGGAGCCCCCAGAUGGGCACUGAGACAAGGGCCCAGGCCCUACGGGGCGCACCAGGCGCGAAAACUCCGCAAAUAGAGGGCUCCGGCCUCCCAGGCCGGCCCCUAGCGGAAUGCGGGCAACCGUGACGGGGCUACCCCGAGUGCCCCCCUUGUGGGGGCUUUUCCCCGCUGUAAGGAGGCGGGGGAAUAAGCGGGGGGCAAGUCUGGUGUCAGCCGCCGCGGUAAUACCAGCCCCGCGAGUGGUCGGGGUGAUUAUUGGGCCUAAAGCGGCCGUAGCCGGCCCGGCAAGUCCCCCCUGAAAGCCUCGGGCUCAACCCGAGGAGCGGGGGGAUACUGCCGGGCUAGGGGGCGGGAGAGGCCGAGGGUACUCCCGGGGUAACGGGAGGGCGGAGGCUUAGAAAAUCAAAAGCGAAGAUCCAAAACAGGAGAGGAAUAGAGAAACAUAUUACAAGUUCUGACGUUUCUUAGCAGAUGUAACCCCGAAUAGAUGGGGGAACCUCCCCGCUUUAGAGGGAACCCUCGCCCUUCAAAGGGCAGGGAGGAGGUCUGUUUAGGAUUAGCAGAAAGAAUUCUGUUAGUAUGUUCAUCCACCCUUUUGGUCCGCACUCAUUUUCAAGUUAAGUAAGAUUAUACCUCUGCCCCCCGCCCCAGGGGGCGAAAUCCUAUAAUCCCGGGAGGACCACCAGUGGCGAAGGCGCUCGGCUGGAACGCGCCCGACGGUGAGGGCCGAAAGCCGGGGGAGCGAACCGGAUUAGAUACCCGGGUAGGUACGUGUCGCAGGUCAUUUCAUAAGCCUCCUAUAUUACAAUUGAAAGCCUCGCCCUUCAAAGGGCGGGGAGGAGGUCGAUAGUUCGUACAUGGUUAUCCCCCUGCGACCGUACCCCGGAGAGUCCCGGCUGUAAACGAUGCGGGCUAGGUGUUGGGCGGGCGAGAGAGCCCGCCCAGUGCCGCAGGGAAGCCGUUAAGCCCGCCGCCUGGGGAGUACGGCCGCAAGGCUGAAACUUAAAGGAAUUGGCGGGGGAGCACACAAGGGGUGGAGCCUGCGGCUUAAUUGGAGUCAACGCCGGGAAUCUUACCGGGGGCGACAGCAGGAUGACGGCCAGGUUAAAGGCCUUGCCUGACGCGCUGAGGGGAGGUGCAUGGCCGUCGCCAGCUCGUGCCGUGAGGUGUCCUGUUAAGUCAGGUAACGAGCGAGACCCCUGCCCCUAGUUGCAACCCUAGGGGUAGCCCUGGGGGCACACUAGGGGGACUGCCGCCGCUAAGGCGGAGGAAGGAGGGGGCCACGGCAGGUCAGCAUGCCCCUAAUCCCCCGGGCUGCACGCGGGCUACAAUGGCGGGGACAGCGGGUGUCGACCCCGAAAGGGGGAGGCAAUCCCUCAAACCCCGCCUCAGUUGGGAUCGAGGGCUGGAACUCGCCCUCGUGAACGUGGAAUCCCUAGUAACCGCGCGUCAACAUCGCGCGGUGAAUACGUCCCUGCUCCUUGCACACACUGCCCGUCGCUCCACCCGAGGGGGGCCUGGGUGAGGCCUCUGCCGCCGGGCGGGGACGAACC
rnacentral:rRNA from 1 species